rnacentral:lncRNA from 1 species
AAUAAUUAUCAUAUUCAUAAAUAUUUACAAAUUUUGAAUAUAUAUUUGUAUAUGCAUUUAUAAUUUCUUAUCUCUCCUAAGAAUAAACUAGAUUAUAUGUAUGUAUGUAUAUAAAAUUUAUAUUUAGCAUCUUGGAUUAUAAGAGAUAUUAUAUGUCAUAAAUAUGUUAUGACUCUAAUAAAUUACUAGAAAGAUGUUACAAUGAAUAAAUCAUUAGAACCUCUAGUAAUUUUACAAAAUAUAUAAAUUAUUGAGUUACCACAUUCUAACUACAUACAAAGAGGAUUUUCUUAUGAAAGAUUUUAAUCUUUUGAUCCGAUCAAUGAUUUAGAUAUGUGGUAAAAUAAUCAAUUAAAUUGAUUUUUACUAUAUUUAUUAAAUAAAUUAGGAAUCUCAAAUUUAUUUAUAAAUGAUUUAGAAAAAGCAAACGAUACCACAUUGUAGCUAUAUACAAAGAGGAUGUUCUUACGAAAGAUUUUAAUCCUCUAAUCUGAUCAAUGAUUCGUACAUACAGGAAAAUAAUCAAUUAAAUUGAAUUUCGCUAUAUUUAUUAAAUAAAUUAGGAAACUCAAAUUUAUUUAUAAAUGAUAUAGAAAAAGCAAAUAAAAUAUUAGAAAUUAAUAGUUUUAAUAAAGAAAACAUCAAAGAAAUUAAAAAGUUAGGAGAUCAAAUGAGUAAAAAAUUUAAUAAGGUUAAACAAUUAAUAAAAAACUUCACAUUGAAGAUAAUGAUAUAUUAAAGUAAGAAAUUGUUAAUAUAAUAAAUAAAAACUUAAUAAAUAUAAGAUUAAACAAGUUAGAGAUUCAAUUAGAUAAAAUAAAAAUUUGGUACUGAAUUUGCUAUAAAUAUAAAUAAAAAACUUAAACAAAUUGAAGUACUGCAUAGUAGUUUGGGGUUUAAAAUAAAAUUUUAAAACUUAUUAACUUUUUUAUAAUUAUUAACUUUUUUGAGGAUUCAAAAAUUUAUAACUGUAACGUACAGCUGAUGUAGUAACAUAAGCUCUGCCUACAAUCAUUAUAUGAAUUUAAAUUUUCGUUAACUGUUACUUGUGGUAUCAGUAGAUUAUAAUAAUGUAAUAAGAUACGGUAUCAUGUAAAAAGGAAAGGACAAAUGCUAUUAUGUUCUCACAAUCAGAGCUCGCCGAGUAAGCCGUCCUCGCCCACGCGAUCAGCUUUCAGCUCUCUCCAUGUGCUAACUUUGUUCGUGCAGAAACUGAACUGAACUGAUGCUGUGUUUAUUUUUUGGAUUAGAGUGAGAAUCCUGAGGAGUGAGAAUCCUUGGAUUAGGAGUGUGGAGUCGGAGUGGGAGUAUGGUGUUUACUUAGACUAAAUAAAAGUAUGGAUUAUCAAUCAGAAUCCUAAUUAUUUGUUUACUUUGUCUUGGAUUGAGAGUAAAUUGUUUUAAAUUAUAAUUUUAUCCUUAUGUACAGAAU